GGAUUAGAUACCCUGGUAGUCCACGCCGUAAACAAUGGACACUUGGUGUUGGAGGUUUUGACCCCUUCAGUGCCGUAGCUAACGCGUUAAGUGUCCCGCCUGGGGAGUACGGCCGCAAGGUUAAAACUCAAAGAAAUUGACGGGGGCCCGCACAAGCGGUGGAGCAUGUGGUUUAAUUCGAUGCAACGCGCAAAACCUUACCUAGCCUUGACAUGCACGGGACGGUUACCAGAAAUGGUGCCUCUCUUCGGAGCUCGUGCACAGGUGCUGCAUGGCUGUCGUCAGCUCGUGCCG
rnacentral:rRNA from 1 species